CAGCCGCCGCGGUAAUACGUAGGGUGCAAGCGUUAAUCGGAAUUACUGGGCGUAAAGCGUGCGCAGGCGGUUAUAUAAGACAGAUGUGAAAUCCCCGGGCUUAACCUGGGAACUGCAUUUGUGACUGUAUAGCUAGAGUACGGCAGAGGGGGAUGGAAUUCCGCGUGUAGCAGUGAAAUGCGUAGAUAUGCGGAGGAACACCGAUGGCGAAGGCAAUCCCCUGGGCCUGUACUGACGCUCAUGCACGAAAGCGUGGGGAGCAAACAGGAUUAGAUACCCCCGUAGUCCCUGUCUCUUAUAC
rnacentral:rRNA from 1 species